ACACUCAGUAUCAUCAGUGGCUGGGACCAGGGCCAAGUGAAUGCCCUCAUCCAGAGCAUCAUUAGUUCAGGCUUUAAUAUCAACAGUGCCUCCUCUCUGGUAUCAUUGGGAACACUUAUUGGUGGUGUUCCUUCUACAGCCAUAUCCAUCAUCCCAUCUUCUGAGCUUCUGUCUUUAUCUCAGAAUCCAACAUUCAUUGCUAAUAUUCUAUCAGCCCCAGUUAUUCUACAACAGACAUUUGUCCAAAAGGUAAUCUCUGUAGACCAAACCUCUGUCAUACAAAAUGUUCCGGAUGCACUAGUGAUGUAUAUUCCACUUGUUCUACUGACAUCUCUGAGCUCUGUGGAAGUUUCACUCAUCAAUAACAAGAGCUGGAGUCAUGAACAGGUACCUAAACCCACCCACUUUGUUACACUGAAAAACUAAAGUCUCAUGCCUCGACUGUAAUAGCAGCAGUUCCCCAAAUCUG